rnacentral:rRNA from 1 species
UACGGAGGGUGCAAGCGUUAUCCGGAUUCACUGGGUUUAAAGGGUGCGUAGGCGGGCAGGUAAGUCCGUGGUGAAAUCUCUGAGCUUAACUCAGAAACUGCCAUGGAUACUAUUUGUCUUGAAUAUUGUGGAGGUAAGCGGAAUAUGUCAUGUAGCGGUGAAAUGCUUAGAUAUGACAUAGAACACCAAUUGCGAAGGCAGCUUGCUACACAGUUAUUGACGCUGAGGCACGAAGGCGUGGGGAUCAAACAGG